CCCCAAGUCGAUCAGUGGUAAAGAAUCCACCUGUCAAGCAGAAGACGCAGGUUCGAUUCCUGUUUUGGGAA
rfam:TPA: Bos taurus chromosome 11, whole genome shotgun sequence.